rnacentral:rRNA from 1 species
CAGCCGCGGUAAUUCCAGCUCCCAACGUGUANAUCGUCAUUGCUGCGGUUAAAAAGCUCGUAGUUGGAUCUAAGUUCAUGACUGUAGUUCUCCAUGUGAGAUACUGCUAGUCUGGACUGUUUCGCCGGUUUUCCGUAGCUUCGGCUGCGGUGACUGGUGUUGUAACUUUGAUUAAAUCAAUGUGAUUAAAACAGGCGUUUGCUUGAAUGCUUUAUCAUGGAAUAAUAGAAUAUGACUUCGGUCCAUUCUGUUGGUCUUGGGAUUGAAGUAAUGAUUAAAAGGAACAACUCGGGGGCAUCCGUAUCGCUGCGUGAGAGGUGAAAUUCUUGGACCGCAGCGAGACGACCUAUUGCGAAAGCAUUUGCCAAGAAUGUUUUCAUUAAUCAAGAACGAAAGUCAGAGGAUCGAAGGCGAUUAGAUACCGCCCUAGUUCUGACCGUAAACUAUGCCAACUAGCGAUCAGGUGGAGGUAGUUUAGCCCUGCCUGGGAGCUUCUCGGAAACGAAAGU